rfam:Asian citrus Psyllid, Diaphorina citri - Florida Strain, whole genome shotgun sequence.
UAGCUAAGAGGGCAGAGCGUCUGCCUUGUAAGUGGUACCAAGUCGUGGGUUCGAUUCCCAC